rnacentral:tRNA from 1 species
GCCAGCGUGGCUCAGUGGUUGAGCAUCUGCCUCUGAACCAGUAGGUCACGGUUCGAUUCCUGGUCAGGGCA